UGGCAAGCGUUAUCCGGAUUUAUUGGGCGUAAGCGAGCGCAGCGGUUUCUAAGUCUGAUGUGAAAGCCUUCGGCUUAACCGAAGAAGGGCAUCGGAAACUGGAUGACUUGAGUGCAGAAGAGGGCAGUGGAACUCCAUGUGUAGCGGUGGAAUGCGUAGAUAUAUGGAAGAACACCAGUGGCGAAGGCGGCUGCCUAGUCUGCAACUGACGCUGAGGCUCGAAAGCAUGGGUAGCGAACAGGAUUAGAUACCCUGGUAGUCAAGGGCG
rnacentral:rRNA from 1 species